UACGUAGGGGGCAAGCGUUGUCCGGAUUUACUGGGCGUAAAGGGCGCGUAGGCGGCUUUUCAAGUCGGGCGUGAAAUCUCCGGGCUUAACCCGGAAGGGUCGUUCGAUACUGUUGAGCUAGAGUGUGGAAGAGGCAACUAGAAUUCCGUGUGUAGCGGUGAAAUGCGUAGAUAUACGGAGGAAUACCUGAGGCGAAGGCGGGUUGCUGGGCCAACACUGACGCUGAGGCGCGAAAGCCAGGGGAGCAAACGGG
rnacentral:rRNA from 1 species